AUGAGAGACUGGGGCCUUCAUGUGGGAAAAGAUAAUUUGCUGUUGCUACUUCAUGAAUCGAGGGCGGUGAGGUGGGAUGCACGUGCAGCUGACGUGGGUGAACCCCAGGGGUCCAUGCGGAUUCUAGUGACAUGGGGCUCUGGGCUGGUGGGCAAAGCCAUCCAGAAGGUGGUAGCAGAUGGAGCUGGCCUUCCUGGAUAGGACUGGGCGUUUGUCUCCUCCAAGGACGCCCAUCUCAGGGAUACAGCACUGACCCGCCCCCUGUUUGAGAACGUUCGACCCACGCACGUCAUCCAUCUUGCUGCAAUGGUGGGGGACCUGUUUUGGAAUAUCAAAUACAAUUUGGACUUCUGGAGGAAAAAUGUGCACAUCAAUGACAACGUCCUGCACGCGGCCUUCGAAGUGGGCGCCUGCAAGGUCUUGUCCUGCCUGUCCAUUUGUAUUUUUCCUGUCAAGACUACCUACCCCACAGCUGAGACCAUGAGCCACAGUGGGCAGCCCCACAGCAGCAAUUUUGGGUACUCGCAUGCCAAGAGGAUGAUCGACGUGCAGAACAGGGCCUACUUCCAGCAGCAUGGCUGCACGUUCACCGCUCUCAUCCCCACCAACGUCUUCAGGCCCCAUGACAACUUCAACAUUGAGGAUGGCCACGUGCUACCUGGCCUCAUCCACAAGGUGCGCCUGGCCAAGAGCAGCGGCUCAGCCCUGAUGGUGUGGGGUACGGGGAAGCCACGGAGGCAGUUUAUAUACUCGCUGGACCUGGCCUAGCUCUGUAUCUGGGUCCUGUGGGAGUACAGCGAGGUGGAGCCCGUUAUCCUCUCAGUGGGCGAGGAAGAUGAGGUCUCCAUCAGGGAGGCAGCCGAGGCGGUGGUGGAGGCUAUGGACUUCCAUGGGGAGGCCACCUUUGAUACAACCAAGUCAGACGGGCAGUUUAAGAAGACAGCCAGUAACAGCAAGCUGAGGACAUACCUGCCCGGCUUCCGGUUCACACCCUUCAAGCAGGCGGUGAAGGAGACCUGUGCUUGGUUCACUGACAACUAGGAGCAGCCCAGGAAGUGA